AGGAAUGAGCUCUCCGACGGAGGGCAUGAACAGCAAGUGCAAAGGCCCUGCGACUCGAAAGAGCAUGAAAGACUGAGGAAGCGGCCAGUGUGGCUCCAACACAGUGGAGGAGUGGGGGGAUCCUACUGAGAUAGAGGCCCUGGAGAUGAAUCCAAGGCUCACCUGUAAGAUCCAGACAGGACAAAUCUCCAGUCCGAGAUGAUGAACUUCUCCCGGAUUUGGCCAGCGAAUUUCCUGCCUGACUUGGCACAGUAUAUCUCUCCUUCCACACUCCGGAUGGAAAUGUUCUGUUGGAGGGAAAGUCAAGGUGUCACUUCCUAAUUCUGUUUAUAGAGAUACAUUUGGGCUUUAGGCUGGAUGUUUAUGUUCCCUUUACCCCCAUUCUGUGUUGAAACCUAAUCCCCAGGGUGACGGUACUAGAAGGUGGGGCCUUUGGGAGGAGAUUAGGUCAUGAAGAUGGAGUGCUCAUGAAUGGGAGGAGUGCCUUAUAAAGGAGGCCUAGAGAUCUGCCUCACUCCUUCUGCCAUGUGAGGACACAGCAAGAAGACAGCCAUUUAUAAGCCAGGAAGUGGGCUUCACCAGACGCCGAAUCUGCCAGAACGUUGAUCUUGGAGUUCCCAGCCUCUAGAACCAUGAGGAAUAAAUUUCUGUUGUUAUGAA
rnacentral:lncRNA from 10 species